GUGAAGAACGCAGCGAAAUGCGAUAAGUAAUGUGAAUUGCAGAAUUCAGUGAAUCAUCGAAUCUUUGAACGCACCUUGCACCCUUUGGCAUUCUGAAGGGUAUGCUCGUUUGAGUGUCAUUGUACUCUCACACUCCCGAUCUUUGCAUUGGGAGCAGUGGACUUGGGUUUGCUGCUUCACCGUCGCUUACCUCAAAUAGGUUAGUGCAACUCUUGGUUGGACAUAGUACGGCGUGAUAAGUGUUCUUCGCCGGUGCCUCGCAAAGAGGGUGGCCGAUCGGGAUGUUGUGCUCCAAACCGUCUUCGGACAAUCUCUGACGACUUGACCUCAAAUCGAGUAAGACUACCCGCUGAACUUAAGCAUAUCAAUAAGCGGAGGA
rnacentral:misc_RNA from 1 species